UUAAAGUCCAGGAAAUACAAACAAAUGUUUAAAACCUAAAAAAAAUGGCGGUAUCUUAUAUCAUCAGGGGAACCUGUUACUUAAUUCGAUAAUCCACGAAAAUUAAACCUUAUAUUGAAUUUCAGCCUGUAUACUACUGUCGCCAGUAAACCUAUAAAAGAUAGAUUACAAUCACAAACUAAUGUGUUAACGUCAAGUCAAAGUGCAGCUAAUACUAAGGAGUAAUAUGGGUUACAAUCUCCAUAAAAGAUUAUUAAUCUACAAAAUAAAAAUGUAGUGACAGUGGACUUGAAAGUAAUUAUCAUAUAUUACUAUAAUAAACCUCAUUCUAAGAUAUGCACACAUCGCCCGUCGCUCUCGUUUACAAAAACC
rnacentral:rRNA from 1 species